rnacentral:tRNA from 1 species
GGAGAGGUGGCUCAGUGGUUAAGAGCACUGGCUGCUCUUUCAGAGGUCCUGAGUUCAAUUCUCAGCAACCACA